UCGGGUGUGGUGUACGGUACACGCCUUUCGUGCUCAUUGUUUAUCGCGGGGGCGAGAAGGAGGACGGGGUUCGACUCCCCGCGUCCGAA